GACGAACGCUGGCGGCGUGCUUAACACAUGCAAGUCGAACGGAAAGGCCCCUUUUGGGGUACUCGAGUGGCGAACGGGUGGGUAACACGUGAGUAACCUGCCCUUCACUUCGGGAUAACUUCAGGAAACUGGGGCGAAUACCGGAUAGGAAUCCUUGCUGCAUGGCGGGGGUUGGAAAGCUUCGGCGGUUUUGGAUGGACUGGCGGGUUAUCAGCUUGUUGGUGGGGUAGUGGGUUACCAAGGCGUUGACGGGUAGCCGGCCUGAGAGGGUGACCGGCCACAUUGGGACCUAGAUACGGCCCAGGCACCGACGGGAGGGAGCAGGGGGGAAUAUUGCACAAGGGGCGGCAGCCUGGUGCAGCAACGCCGCGGGCGGGAUGACGGCCUUCGGGUUGAAAACCGCUUUCAGCAGGGGCGAAGCUUGUGGUGACGGUACCUGCAGAAGAAGCACCGGCUAACUACGUG
rnacentral:rRNA from 1 species